rnacentral:ribozyme from 1 species
AGUUUGAGCUAUAUAGAGAGGUUCGAGCUGUGUUGCAAAUUGGCGGUCAAGUACUAUCAAGGCGGAAAAGACAAACAACAACAAAGAAGGACAAGAAAAAUCAAAAAUACACAAUGGCAGAAGCAACUGAAGGAGGAGGCACGCGCCAGACGG